GCCCAGAUGGUGGAAUUGGUAGACACGCCGGCCUUAGAAGCCGGUGUCGCAAGAUGUGAGAGUUCGAGUCUCUCUCUGGGCACCA
rnacentral:tRNA from 1 species